GAUGAACGCUGGCGGCGUGCCUAAUACAUGCAAGUCGAGCGAACAGAUAAGGAGCUUGCUCCUUUGACGUUAGCGGCGGACGGGUGAGUAACACGUGGGUAACCUACCUAUAAGACUGGAAUAACUCCGGGAAACCGGGGCUAAUGCCGGAUAACAUUUAGAACCGCAUGGUUCUAAAGUGAAAGAUGGUUUUGCUAUCACUUAUAGAUGGACCCGCGCCGUAUUAGCUAGUUGGUAAGGUAACGGCUUACCAAGGCAACGAUACGUAGCCGACCUGAGAGGGGGAUCGGCCACACUGGACCUGAGACACGGUCCAGACUCAUACGGGAGGCAGCAGUAGGGAAUCUUCCGCAAUGGGCGAAAGCCUGACGGAGCAACGCCGCGUGAGUGAUGAAGGUCUUCGGAUCGUAAAACUCUGUUAUUAGGGAAGAACAAAUGUGUAAGUAACGGUGCACGUCUUGACGGUACCGAAGCAGAAAGCCACGGCUAACUACGU
rnacentral:rRNA from 1 species